AGAGUUUGAUCCUGGCUCAGGACGAACGCUGGCGGCGUGCCUAAUACAUGCAAGUAGAACGCUGAAGAGAGGAGCUUGCUCUUCUUGGAUGAGUUGCGAACGGGUGAGUAACGCGUAGGUAACCUGCCUUGUAGCGGGGGAUAACUAUUGGAAACGAUAGCUAAUACCGCAUAACAAUGGAUGACACAUGUCAUUUAUUUGAAAGGGGCAAAUGCUCCACUACAAGAUGGACCUGCGUUGUAUUAGCUAGUAGGUGAGGUAACGGCUCACCUAGGCGACGAUACAUAGCCGACCUGAGAGGGUGAUCGGCCACACUGGGACUGAGACACGGCCCAGACUCCUACGGGAGGCAGCAGUAGGGAAUCUUCGGCAAUGGACGGAAGUCUGACCGAGCAACGCCGCGUGAGUGAAGAAGGUUUUCGGAUCGUAAAGCUCUGUUGUAAGUCAAGAACGAGUGUGAGAGUGGAAAGUUCACACUGUGACGGUAGCUUACCAGAAAGGGACGGCUAACUACGUGCCAGCAGCCGCGGUAAUACGUAGGUCCCGAGCGUUAUCCGGAUUUAUUGGGCGUAAAGCGAGCGCAGGCGGUUAGAUAAGUCUGAAGUUAAAGGCUGUGGCUCAACCAUAGUUCGCUUUGGAAACUGUCAAACUUGAGUGCAGAAGGGGAGAGUGGAAUUCCAUGUGUAGCGGUGAAAUGCGUAGAUAUAUGGAGGAACACCGGUGGCGAAAGCGGCUCUCUGGUCUGUAACUGACGCUGAGGCUCGAAAGCGUGGGGAGCGAACAGGAUUAGAUACCCUGGUAGUCCACGCCGUAAACG
rnacentral:rRNA from 1 species